AACCUUUAGCCAAACAAAUAUUAAAGGCAACGCCUGCCCAGUGAACAAUUAAACGGCCGCGGUACCCUAACCGUGCAAAGGUAGCGUAAUCACUUGUCUAUUAAUUGUAGACCCGUAUGAAAGGCAAAAUGAGGGCCUAACUGUCUCUUAUAAUAAAUCAAUUAAACUGAUCUCCCAGUCCAAAAGCUGGAAUACCCACAUAAGACCAGAAGACCCUGUGAAGCUUAAACCAAACUAUUAAAUCUUAUAAUAGCUCCUUUCGGUUGGGGCGACCUUGGAAACAAAAAGAACUUCCAAACAUCAUGACCUAACAUCAUGCCAUCUUUAGGCCGACAGGCCAAACCCAGAUCCAGCAUUGCUGAUAAUUGAACCAAGUUACUCCAGGGAUAACAGCGCCAUCUUCUUCAAGAGCCCAUAUCAAAAAGAAGGUUUACGACCUCGAUGUUGGAUCAGGACAUCCUAUUGGUGCAGCCGCUAUUAAGGGUUCGUUUGUUCAACGAUUAAUAGUCCU
rnacentral:rRNA from 1 species